rnacentral:rRNA from 1 species
UGGGGAAUAUUGGACAAUGGGCGCAAGCCUGAUCCAGCCAUGCCGCGUGAGUGAUGAAGGCCCUAGGGUUGUAAAGCUCUUUCACCGGUGAAGAUAAUGACGGUAACCGGAGAAGAAGCCCCGGCUAACUUCGUGCCAGCAGCCGCGGUAAUUCGAAGGGGGCUAGCGUUGUUCGGAUUUACUGGGCGUAAAGCGCACGUAGGCGGACUAUUAAGUCAGGGGUGAAAUCCCGGGGCUCAACCCCGGAACUGCCUUUGAUACUGGUAGUCUUGAGUUCGAGAGAGGUGAGUGGAAUUCCGAGUGUAGAGGUGAAAUUCGUAGAUAUUCGGAGGAACACCAGUGGCGAAGGCGGCUCACUGGCUCGAUACUGACGCUGAGGUGCGAAAGCGUGGGGAGCAAACAGG